CCUACGGGUGGCAGCAGUGGGGAAUAUUGCACAAUGGGGGAAACCCUGAUGCAGCGACGCCGCGUGAGUGAAGAAGUCUCUCGGUAUGUAAAGCUUUAUUAGCAGGGAAGAAAAUGACGGUACCUGACUAAGUAGCCCCGGCUAACUACGUGCCAGCAGCCGCGGUAAUACGUAGGGGGCAAGCGUUAUUCGGAUUUACUGGGUGUAAAGGGAGCGUAGACGGCGCGGCAAGUCUGAGGUGAAAGGCAGGGGCUUAACCCCUGAACUGCUUUGGAAACUGCCAUGCUAGAGUGCUGGCGAGGUAAGUGGAAGUCCGGGUGUAGCGGUGAAAUGCGUAGAUAUUAGGAGGAACACCAGUGGCGAAGGCGGCUUACUGGACAGUAACUGACGUUGAGGCUCGAAAGCGUGGGGAGCAAACAGGAUUAGAUACCGUGUAGUC
rnacentral:rRNA from 1 species